GAGGACCGUAUUCAUGGAAGAGGAUCGAACAGACUACUGAGUUCUUAUGAGAAAAAUGGCUCUUAAGAAAUUGAAGGUGAUACCAAAGGAAAGUUACUUAUUACUUUUGGACUUUGAUGAUGAGGACGAUGAUAUAAAAGUUUCAGAGGAGGCUCUUUCGGAAGUAAAGAGCCCAGCAUUUGAUAAAAAUGAGAAUAUAUCGCCUCAAGCAGAAGCAGAUGAAGAUAUGGGAGAUGAAGUAGACAGUAUGUUGGAUAAAUCUGAAGGUCUCUGCUAAGAAAAACUGAGAACUUCACUGUAAGUGCAAGAGUUUGAACAGACUGGCUCCUAGCAGAAAUCAGGAAGGCCAAGGAAAUGGAGACCCUAUGACAUUUAUAAGACGCUUCACAUAAAGAGAAAAUGGAUGGAAACUUAUGUCAAAGAAUCUUUCAAAGGCAGGAACCAGAAAUUAGAAAGAUUUUGCAAAAUGAACGAACGAGAGAGGAAGAACAUCAACAACAAAUUUUGUGAGCAGUAUAUAACUACAUUUCAGAAGUCUUAUAUGGAUGUACAGAAAUUCAAUGAGGAAAAAGAAAAAUCAGUGAAUAGUUGUCAAAAAGAACAACAAGCAUUGAAACUGUCCAAAUGUAGUCAGAACCAGACCCUGGAAGCAGGUAAAGAAAUGCAUGAGAAGUCCAUGGAGCUGCAUCAUUGGACUCAAACUGAAUGGUCCAUGUGUUGCCACUGAUGUGAGCCAUU
rnacentral:lncRNA from 1 species